rnacentral:rRNA from 1 species
CCUACGGGAGGCAGCAGUAGGGAAUCUUCCACAAUGGACGAAAGUCUGAUGGAGCAACGCCGCGUGAGUGAAGAAGGGUUUCGGCUCGUAAAGCUCUGUUGGUAGUGAAGAAAGAUAGAGGUAGUAACUGGCCUUUACUUGACGGUAAUUACGUAGAAAGUCACGGCUAACUACGUGCCAGCAGCCGCGGUAAUACGGAGGUGGCAAGCGUUGUCCGGAUUUAUUGGGCGUAAAGCGAGUGCAGGCGGUUCAAUAAGUCUGAUGUGAAAGCCUUCGGCUCAACCGGAGAAUUGCAUCAGAAACUGGUGAACUUGAGUGCAGAAGAGGAGAGUGGAAUUCCAUGUGUAGCGGUGAAAUGCGUAGAUAUAUGGAGGAACACCAGUGGCGAAGGCGACUCUCUGGUCUGCAACUGACGCUGAGGCUCGAAAGCAUGGGUAGCGAACAGGAUUAGAUACCCGUGUAGUC